UACGUAGGUGGCAAGCGUUAUCCGGAAUUAUUGGGCGUAAAGAGCGCGCAGGUGGUUGAUUAAGUCUGAUGUGAAAGCCCACGGCUUAACCGUGGAGGGUCAUUGGAAACUGGUCGACUUGAGUGCAGAAGAGGGAAGUGGAAUUCCAUGUGUAGCGGUGAAAUGCGUAGAGAUAUGGAGGAACACCAGUGGCGAAGGCGGCUUCCUGGUCUGUAACUGACACUGAGGCGCGAAAGCAUGGGUAGCGAACAGGAUUAGA
rnacentral:rRNA from 1 species